rnacentral:rRNA from 1 species
AACGAACGCUGGCGGCGUGCUUAACACAUGCAAGUCGAACGCGAAAGGGACUUCGGCCCUGAGUAAAGUGGCGCACGGGUGAGUAACGCGUAGAUAACCUGUCUUCAUGUCUGGAAUAAUACGCCGAAAGGGGUACUAAUACCGGAUACUCUCGCUUUUCAUAAGUUAUGCAAGCAAAGGUGGCCUCUGCAUAUGCUACUGCAUGAAGAGGGGUCUGCGUACCAUUAGCUAGUAGGUGGGGUAAUGGCCUACCUAGGCGACGAUGGUUAGCGGGUCUGAGAGGAUGAUCCGCCACACUGGCACUGGAACACGGGCCAGACUCCUACGGGAGGCAGCAGUGAGGAAUAUUGCGCAAUGGGGGAAACCCUGACGCAGCGACGCCGCGUGAGUGAAGGAAGGCCUUCGGGUCGUAAAGCUCUGUCAAGAGGAAAGAAGUGUACAAUGGCUAAUACCUGUUGUAUUUGACGGUACCUCUAAAGGAAGCACCGGCUAACUCCGUGCCAGCCGCUGC